rnacentral:rRNA from 1 species
AGUGAACGCUGGCGGUAGGCCUAACACAUGCAAGUCGAACGGCAGCACAGUAAGAGCUUGCUCUUACGGGUGGCGAGUGGCGGACGGGUGAGGAAUACAUCGGAAUCUACUUUUUCGUGGGGGAUAACGUAGGGAAACUUACGCUAAUACCGCAUACGACCUACGGGUGAAAGCAGGGGAUCUUCUGACCUUGCGCGAUUGAAUGAGCCGAUGUCGGAUUAGCUAGUUGGCGGGGUAAAGGCCCACCAAGGCGACGAUCCGUAGCUGGUCUGAGAGGAUGAUCAGCCACACUGGAACUGAGACACGGUCCAGGCUCCUACGGGAGGCAGCAGUGGGGAAUAUUGGACAAAGGGCGCAAGCCUGAUCCAGCCAUACCGCGUGGGUGAAGAAGGCCUUCGGGUUGUAAAGCCCUUUUGUUGGGAAAGAAAAGCAGCAGGUUAAUACCCCGCUGUUCUGACGGUACCCAAAGAAUAAGCACCGGCUAACUUCGUG